GCCGGGAAUGGUGGUGCGUGCCUGUAAUCCCAGCUACUCGGGAGGCUGAGGCAGGAGAAUUGCUUGAACCCGGGAGGUGGAGGUUGCAGUGAGCUGAGAUCGCGCCAUUGCGCUCCAGCCUGGGCAACAGAGCAAGACCCUGUCUCAA
rnacentral:sRNA from 1 species